AUUGAACGCUGGCGGCAGGCCUAACACAUGCAAGUCGGACGGUAGCACAGAGGAGCUUGCUCCUCGGGUGACGAGUGGCGGACGGUUGAGUAAUGUCUGGGGAUCUGCCCGAUAGAGGGGGAUAACCACUGGAAACGGUGGCUAAUACCGCAUAACGUCGCAAGACCAAAGAGGGGGACCUUCGGGCCUCUCACUAUCGGAUGAACCCAGAUGGGAUUAGCUAGUAGGCGGGGUAACGGCCCACCUAGGCGACGAUCCCUAGCUGGUCUGAGAGGAUGACCAGCCACACUGGAACUGAGACACGGUCCAGACUCCUACGGGAGGCAGCAGUGGGGAAUAUUGCACAAUGGGCGCAAGCCUGAUGCAGCCAUGCCGCGUGUAUGAAGAAGGCCUUCGGGUUGUAAAGUACUUUCAGCGGGGAGGAAGGCGAUAAGGUUAAUAACCUUGUCGAUUGACGUUACCCGCAGAAGAAGCACCGGCUAACUCCGUGCCAGCCGCCGCAGUAA
rnacentral:rRNA from 1 species